rnacentral:lncRNA from 10 species
ACACACUUUCGCUCUGUGGGCACUUAGCAAAUACUUAUUAACUAAUUGGCUACAAUUCCUCGUCUACUGGUGGGAAAAUGGGGAGGUAAAAUAAAUUAGCUAGACCUCCAUGCUUCCUUAGUCACCCAAAGGAAGAGUUAUUAGUGGCUACAUACAGUGACUAAAAAUAGACAUCUGGUCAGGAAAAUCUGAAGAGAGAGAGACUAUCGGGGCUGCUUUUGGUAAACAGUUACACAGGAUACUUCACAAGAUACGUGAAGAGAGUCUUUGAGAGUUGAAUUCUAUUUCCUCUUCCUUUGGAUGUGGGCUAUAUUUGUGAGAAUCAUGCCAUGACCAUGAGGACACUCAAGUAGCCCUAUUGAGAGGUCUACAUGGUGAAGAACUAAUGUCUCCUGCCAAGAGCCAGUGAGGAAUUGGAGGGCUCUUGUCAACAGCCACCGAUGUGCAUGGUAAAAUCAAAUCCCUAUUAGGAUAAAUGAUUGAGUGUUCCUGUAAAGAAUUGUUCCCCUGGUUCAAGCAACCAGAUUUCAUUCCCAGAUGAUCAAAAAUGGACUUGAUGAAAUGGAAAAGCACUGAUAGAAACAGCCGUCGAUAUAUAGCUAAGGAUGAUAACAAGCACAACAAGGACUUACAGCAUUUGCUUUGCACCAGACACCAUCUAAAACACUUCACAAAUAUUAACUCAAAGGAACCUAUCAUAAUGCUGUCAUUAUUCCCAGUUCACAGAUGGGGAGGUAAAAACCCAGAGCUUAAUAGCAUGUCCAAGAUCACAUAACUAUUCCACUGCUCAAAAUUACUCCUGAAGGGAUGAGGACACCAGGAUAUGCCACCGGACCACUGAAGGAAUGGUGAUGGUAUGAAGAAAGUAUUUUUAAUGAGCAGAGCCAUUGUUUGCUCUGCUCUGUCCUCACCCCUCAAGAGAAUUUCCCUUAUUAUUAUGAAAACUUUUUAUCUUAAAAGAUAUUACAUGUUAAUGGAACUGUCGUUUAACAAAUGUUUUAUAAGUGUACCAAUCAAGCACAUUGUCGAAAUAAAAGAUAUGAAAUAAGUGAAAAAAA